UCCGAAUUAGUCCAGUGGUUUAGGAUAUCCCGCUUUCAGCUCCCAGCAGUGGGAUUGAAGGGCCGGGAAGACCCGGGUUCAAAUCCCGGAUUCGGAA